GGGUCGUUAGCUCAGUUGGUAGAGCAGCGGACUUUUAAUCCGUUGGUCGCAGGUUCGAGCCCUGCACGGCCUACCA
rnacentral:tRNA from 3 species